rnacentral:rRNA from 1 species
UACGUAGGGAGCAAGCGUUGUCCGGAAUCAUUGGGCGUAAAGAGCGCGUAGGUGGCUUUAUAAGUCCGUUGUGAAAGUCAAAGGCUCAACCUUUGAAAGCCGAUGGAUACUGUAGAGCUAGAGUACGGAAGAGGCGAGUGGAAUUCCUGGUGUAGCGGUGGAAUGCGCAGAUAUCAGGAGGAACACCGGUGGCGAAGGCGGGUCUCUGGGCCGAUACUGACGCUGAGGAGCGAAAGCCAGGGGAGCAAACGGG